UAUUUGUUUUUCACAUAAAAGAUAUUCAUGUGGAAUUCCGUCCCGGAUGGGGUCCUUUGUUUUAGAUGUCAGUUGAUGUCAAAGGUCAAGCAUUAGCCUUCAUUUUACAGUUUGAAGUUGGGCUUUGGGUAUGUCCGCGUGCCCAUCGCGACAGCAAUACAAACAGAAAACCACCUACGCUGGGCUGUCUGUCCCGGCAGGCUCUAGACCUUUGGGAGAUUUCCCGGGGUAGGAGUGCCCGCCCCCUCGAGAAGCCCGGAUGUUCUAGCCGGUGCCAGUUUGGGGGAAGGGGAUCCUUGAAGCUGGGCUCGCGCAGCCGCAGUCAGAAUUUCUGGAGGCAGGGAGAGCCCAGCGGAUAUGAAACCUUUAAAUGGAGGGGCAGGCUGAAGUAAGUGAUGUCUACAGGAAGGAGAAACUCCUCGUUAGUGCUUCCCAUAUGGUCUAGCGGUUAGGAUUCCUGGUUUUCACCCAGGCGGCCCGGGUUCGACUCCGGUAUGGGAAGGCGGUUGUUUCAGGUUUUUGUGGUGGCCAGAAUUUUGUAUUUUCAUCUCAGGUCACAUGGGGCGUUUCUUUCCAUUUAAGCCUGAGAAAUUGGGGCCUCGGGGAGCUCUGGGACCUAUCAUUCUGUGUUUUGAACGAAGUGUUAAUUGUCAUCACGUCAUUAACUAUUUUUUCUAUGGGUAAUUUAUUAACUGUAUAAGAUACCAUAUACAUUAUAGGUGCAAAUACCAUUAUAUUUAUAUAUUGAAUAAUAUUUAAAAUACUCAAAAUUUAUUGUUAAUCUUCAUGGAGGGCGACCACUGCCUAGUCUUUCCACACACCUCUGGGUAGUGGAACCCUCCGGGAGGAAGGAAGAAAUAAGUGGAGUCAAGACACUUGCAACUUUUGCUCCAGAGCCAGUCCAGAGGCUGGGCCGCAACAAGCGGAGCUGUCUCUGGAGGGGCAUAGGAUGAAGUGCCUGAAUGGACAGGAGAGGGCCAGUUGGAAGAAGUCUCCAGCAAUUAAUUUUCUCUGGUCUUGUGGCUGCUUUGUUUGCCUUCUAGUCCAGUGGUUAGGGUUCUUACGCAAACCGGUUUGCCUUCUACCGGUUCUACCGGUUCUAAGUAAUUCUAAAAAUUACUUAAAUUUUUUUAAAGAAUCUCUCUCCCCCCAACACUUGCACACUUUUAGUCAAAAGGAGAGCCAAACGUACACACAUGAGUUACUAAGUGCCUUUGUCACUUUCCCACCCCCUUCGUCUGGUUCACUUACUCAACCAAGGGAGGUUAUGGGCAGGGCUGAGGUCCUGCCUUCAGAAAUGGACCUCUACACUUAUUUACUCACUCAUACAUUUUGGGGGGGGGGGGAGGGAUUAUUUCUGUGAUCCUAUUAAUUUAAAAUGUGUAGGUUAAAAUAGGAUACAUUGGAGCUGGGAAGUCAUCACUGGUUCUCACAAGAAAACUGUCUAAAAUUUAACAACUCUUCUUAGAUCCAUCAGAAAAUUGAAGUCACGGGGCAAAUUGCUGCCUUGAAAAUUGGGGAGAAGAAUGAAUCAUAGUAUACCAGGCUCAGAAGUUGCUGCUGGAGCCAGUAACUGGGGAAAAAUGGCUCAAUCAGGAAGAGGAAUGAGACCUGCGUCCUGUGGACCAACUGGGCCAACCUGCUAGAGAAGCAAAUAGAGUUCCUGUUGCUCGCCUUCCUAGGAAGAGAUCUAAGCUAUGUCUACAUGUUCCUGGGAACAUAUAGAGCCUUUGCCACCACCCAAGCAGAAGGUUGCAAGAUAUAGGUGCAUUCUCUCCACUAUGAUGAGGUCAGCGGAGCCCAGGAGCUGCGGAAAAUGUGAGCUUUGGCUGAUACAGGAGGGCCUUCCCUCUCCACCAGGACAGCGAGGGGACUAUGAAUUGGAGGGACUCUUGGACCCUCAAGCCACACAUCUGUGAUUCCUGUUUUAGGGUAAAGGUCUGAGAAUUUCUUCUGGAAAAAGGCAAAUGUCCCAGGGUGGCUGUGGGUGGGGUGUGGGCACUGUGGGAGUGCAGAGGGAGCUGGAGGACAGCUUUAGCCCCUAAGAGAGUCAUUCCCCACCCCCACACCCUCCCAGCCCCAUCUCUAUCCCAAUCCCAGGACCCAGAACAGAUGCUGUGGGAACCAUUACACUCAGCAAUCUGUUGGAACCUGGACACUGGGUGCUCAGAGGGUGCUCAGGAGACCCAAGAGCAGACCUCCCACAUCCUGUGGGAGAUUAAUGUCCAUGGAAGGAGACACACUCAUGAUACCUAGUGAAUGAGACAACGCAUAGACAGAGGAUGUAAAGUUUAAGGCCUGGCUAGAGAUAGAGUUCCUUUGUUCCCUCCUUGGUUGAUCUUCACAGAGCAGUGGGGUGUGCAGUGAGGACAAUGAACAGGCCAGACACCAGCCCUUCCUGGACAUGUGCAGUUUAAUUUAAGUGGCAAGUGGGCAAGGAGACAGAGGAGUGUUUCCAGCUCCUCAGAGGACAGAAAUGGUCCCACCAUUGAUCAAGGGAUCCCACUCAUAGAGGCUUUUUGCCAGCCUGUUGUCUGUGACCAGGCCUGUGUUAGGCGACUGCCAGAUCACAGGUGGACAAGGAGUAGGACUGGUCUCUGAUACUCAGGAGCUGAAGGUCUAGGGCACCAUGUAACCACAGGGGUUUCCUAGGACAUUGGUUUGGGAGGGUGCCCUGUCCUCUGAUUCCUCUGCCUACCUGUCUGUCCCGAGGGUCAUCUAUUCCAUCUUGAACACAUGGCUGGAACAAUAUUCCCAAGAUUUUUUCCAGCCCCUAGAAUUUCCCAGCCUGAAUAUGCUGCUGGCAUACAUGGGGCUCAAUAUGCCAGGCUCAGACCUGGAGUGCCAUGCCCUGCUUCUGCUCUCACAGCUGUAACACCUUGAGCCCAUGGAGCCAGAGGUUGGGGAUGAGGAGGACUGGGGGUGACUGAUGUGGGCCUGUUGGAGGGGACAGGAUGGGCCACACUGAGCAAAUCUUCAUAGAGUGCAGUUGGGCUGAGAGCAGUGAGUAUUCUCAGAUUCCUGUUCCCAUGGGCUUCAGUCACUGAGACCUCCCAAAGAUUGGUUCUUGAGUGGUGGGGAAAGUUUCCUUUAUUUAGAAGGCACAUGGGACGUCAAUCACGCUGAUGAUACUUUCUCUUCUCGGAGCUACAGUACCAGCUCCACAGCAAAGUCCUGAACUACCUCAGGAACUCGCCCCAGCUCCCACUGCGGCACUGGCUGCAGCUUCAGAGCCAGAGCCUGCCCAACGCAUCCCUGUUGCUGGAGAUCACCAGUCAGGAAGAGCAGUGAUACCACCUGCCAUGUCAGGAUUAAUGCAGGUGGUAGUCACAGCUUUAAUUCACUGUCAGAAGCUGGAAGAGCCACCCAAACACUGACAGCCUUGGAUCAGGAGCCAGCUCCAGCCCCAGCUAUUGGGGUUGCUGAAGGUCUCAAGCCACCACCUGCCUCAGUGGAGCAACCAGCCUCAGGCUCCGAGCAACAGCUUGUGCAGGCUGCAGCCCCAAGGAUGGCUUCCCCUCCCCUGUCAUUGCACUGUGUGUAAUUUUUGUGUUUUUUAUACACCUAUAUAAA